AUUGAACGCUGGCGGCAUGCCUUACACAUGCAAGUCGAACGGCAGCACGGGGCAACCUGGUGGCGAGUGGCGAACGGGUGAGUAAUGCAUCGGAACGUGCCCAGUAGUGGGGGAUAACUGCUCGAAAGAGCAGCUAAUACCGCAUACGACCUGAGGGUGAAAGGGGGGGAUCGCAAGACCUCUCGCUAUUGGAGCGGCCGAUAUCAGAUUAGCUAGUUGGUGGGGUAAAGGCCUACCAAGGCGACGAUCUGUAGCGGGUCUGAGAGGAUGAUCCGCCACACUGGAACUGAGACACGGCCCAGACUCCUACGGGAGGCAGCAGUGGGGAAUUUUGGACAAUGGGGGCAACCCUGAUCCAGCCAUGCCGCGUGAGUGAAGAAGGCCUUCGGGUUGUAAAGCUCUUUCGGCCGGGAAGAAAUCGUAUCAGCUAAUACCUGGUGCGGAUGACGGUACCGGCAUAAGAAGCACCGGCUAACUACGUGCCAGCCGCCGCAGUAAAGC
rnacentral:rRNA from 1 species